AUUGAACGCUGGCGGCGGGCCUAACACAUGCAAGUCGAACGGAGCGGCGCACGGGUGAGUAAUGUAUAGCUGAUCUGCCCUCCACUAGAGGACAACAGUUGGUAACGGCUGUUAAUACUCCCUAGUGUAGGAUGAGGCUGUAUUGUCUCAGCUAGGUGGUGAGGUAAUGCCUCACCAAGGCUAUGACGAAUAACUGGUUUGUGUGGAUGAGCAGUAAAACUGGAACUGAGACACGGUCCAGGCUCAUACGAGAAGGGGCAGUAGGGAGUAUUACUCAAGGGGGGAGACCCUGAAGCAGCAACGGCGCGUGGAGGAUGACACUUUUGGGAGCGUAAACUCCUUUUGUUAGGGAAGCGGUACCUAAAGAAUAAGCACCGGCUAACUCCGUGCCAGCAGCCGCGGUAAUAC
rnacentral:rRNA from 1 species